UUCUACAGUUUUUAUCCCAGAUCUUUAUCCAUUACUUAUAUUCUAUUACAUAUAUAUAUAGAUACGUUCAAAAUAUAUGAUGGAUUUUGUUUUGGGUAUCGUUUAGUUUUGCUUAACUCUAUUAUUCAUCAUGGUUUUUGUAAGUGUUGAUGAUUUUUAAUUUAGAAAAUAAUAAAUUUUGUUCUGUGAUUCCAUGGUAAAAUUUAUUGUUUGUGUAUGACUUGUUUUUUUUUAUCGUUUAAGAAUAAAAAGGCCAAUUUUAAUGGCCAAUUCAAUUUCGUCUCAUGGGCAAUGUUUCUUUAUAAUAAUAUAUCUUGUUAUAUAUAAAAUUGGCUCGUUGAUAGCAGAAGUAUCAUAUUGUUGUUGUUUUUUUUUUUUUUUUCUCAUUAGACUCUACUUAAUGUUUAACUCUGUUGUGAUUAUAGUUUUAGGAACCAACCAAUAAAUGUAAAAUCAAUGGUACAAUUCCAUCUCUUGUGGUUUCACAAUUUUUUAUCUUUUGGGUCAUUAAAUCUAACAGCGCUCAUUCAUGAUAUAUAUAUAUAUGUACGCUUUUUUAACUCAAUUAGUUUUACUCAUCUGAAAUAUACAAAGUAUAAUUAAUAUAGAUUUUUGUAUGAAUUAAGAUUUAUGAUUUCUUAAAUAAGCUAAAAGAUUAGCCUGAAAAUAUUGUUUGGCAGGACCUAAGUGUGAAUGGUAGAGGAAUAUAAAUAUAGAAUGUGUUGAGAUUUUAUUACCAAAGAGAACCAGGAGAAAAAGAGAAGAAGAACAUGAAUGAAAAGCUCUGUUUUUCAUUAAAGGAAUACAGCAAUACAAGAAUGAAAUUUAUAUCACUAACCUAGUACUAAGCUAGCCGAUUCUUAACUAAUUACAGUUACAACAGUUAAGAAGGAAAAACAGCUAACUAAUUACAACUAAGCCCUUCAAUAUAUCACAGCUCAGCAGCUAAGACUCCCCCUCAAGAUGGAUUGUAAAUGCUUUGCAAUCCAAUCUUGUCUCUCAAAUAAUUGAACUGUUGAGGAAAAAGAGCCUUGGUAAACAUGUCUGCAACCUGUACUUGUGAUGUAACAUGGGCUGUUCUGAUUAUUCCAGCUUGAAUUUUUUCUCUUAUCAAGUGACAAUCAAUCUCAAUGUGUUUGGUUCUCUCAUGGAAAAUUGGGUUUGCUGCAAUAUGUAAGGCUGCUUGAUUAUCGCAGUAGAAAUCAACAACUAUAUCAUGAGAUUGAUUAAGUUCCUUUAACACAGAGAUCAACCAAACCACUUCACAAGUGGUAUUUUCCAUGGCCCUAUACUCCGCUUCAGCUGAAGAACGCGAAACAGUGUUUUGUUUCUUGCUCUUCUAAGAAAUUAAUGAAUUUCCAAGGAAAACACAAAAACCUGAAGUAGAUUUCCUGGAAUCUUGACAGGAACCCCAGUCCGAGUCUGCAUAGGCUCUUAACUUGAGUGUGGAACUGGCUGGAAAGAACAGGCCAAAACCAGGACUGCCUUUGAUGUACUGCAAUACCCUUUCAGCUGCUUUAAGGUGGGGAACCCGUGGAGAAGCCAAGAACUGACUCAGUUUGUUGAUUGAUUUCAGAUUAGGCUCCAUGGGAGUACUUGAUGGUUUGCAGCCUAGAAACCCAGCUGUUUCAAGCAACUGUAAAGCAUAAUGACGUUGAGAGAUGAAGAUACCUUUCUCUGAUCGAGCAACUUCAAGACCCAAGAAAUAUCGCAAAUUUCCUAAGUCUUUUAACUUGAACUUAGCAUUCAGCCGUCCUUUUAAAGCCUCAACUUCUUGUAGAUUACUACUAACCACAACAACAUCAUCAACAUAGACAACAAGGGCCAUGAAACUGGUAUUAGAAUGCUUUAUAAACAAAGAAUGAUCAGUAGCGGAGUGACUAAAACCUUCUUCUUGUAAAGCACUUGAAAAUUUCUCAAACCAUUGUCGGGAGGCUUGCUUGAGACCAUAUAAGGACUUUUGCAAUCGGCAAACAGGACGAACCGGUAACUCCCCCUUAGGACGAUACCCCUGAGGUAGAGUCAUAAAUACUUCCUCAUGCAAGUCUCCAUGUAAAAAGGCGUUAUGAACAUCAAGUUGGUGAAGAAACCAACCUUUAACAGCCGCAAGAGCAAGAAGAAGCUUGACAGUGACAAGCUUAGCAACCGGGGCAAAGGUAUCAUUGUAGUCUAUGCCUUCUUAUUGAGUGUAACCCUUAGCUACCAAGCGGGCUUUGUAACGCUCAAUAGAACCAUCAGCAUUAUAUUUAAUCUUGUAAACCCACUUGCAGCCUACAACAUGUUUGUGUUCGGGAAGGCUAACAAUACUCCAAGUAUUAUUUCUUUCAAGGGCAGCAAGUUCUUCGGCCAUGGCCAUGUCCCAUUCAAUAGUACCAGCAGCUUUUUGAUAGGAUUCAAGUUCAGUGUUGCUAGAAAUAGCUAAAACAGUGGCGCGAAAAGGAGCAUAAAGUUUGCUAUAGUCCAGGAACUUAGAAAUAGGAUACCGAACUGUACCAGUAGGAACCUGAGAGGAAGCAACAAUGGAAUUAGUAGCAAGGUUACAAUGAUAAUCAGUGAGAUAUGAUGGUCUACGCAAAGGUCGAGAGGAUCGAGUAGAAACAGGAACUGUAUCAUCAAUAACAGAGGAAGGGAGUGAUACAGAAGUGUGGUCAGCUGUAGGAGUAUCUGUAGCAGGCAGAACACUAUUAUGAGGCAAGAAAGAGUGAGAAAAAAAAUCAACAUAAUGAGAAGAGAGCACAUUAGUGGAAACAAAAAGGAAUAUAUGUUCAUGAAAUUGUACAUCACGAGAGACAAAAACUCUGUUGGAAUCAAGGUCAAGAAGCUUAUAAGCUUUCAUGCCAAUGGGGUAACCAAGAAAAACGCAAGCAGUAGCUCGGGGUGAAAAUUUUGACCGAUGACUUGGGAGAGUUGAUGCAUAGGCUAGGCAUCCAAAAGCUUUAAGAUGAUGAUAGGUAGGUGAUUUGUGAUGGAGAAUCUCAAAAGGAGACUUAUGUUUCAAGUGAGGUGUAGGGGUUCUAUUGAUGAGAUAAGUAGCCGUGGAAAUACAAUCUCCCCAAUAUGGCAAAGGAAUGUGAGAUUGAAAUAACAAGGCCCGAGCUACAUUAAGCAAGUGUUGGUGUUUGCGUUCAACCACUGAAUUUUGUUGAGGGCGCUCAACACAAGAAUGAAAAUGCAUGAUGCCUAAGGAGCUAAAUAAAGUAGGAAAUUGAAGCUCUUUGGCAUUAUCUGAUCUAACAGCUUUUAUGGACACAUUAAACUGAGUUUUGAUAAAAGUAAUGUAAUUUGGGAUAACCUGUUGAGCCUCAGAUUUGUGUGUAAGAAAAAAAACCCAAGUGUGGCGAGAACAAUCAUCAACAAUAGUUAUGAAAUAACGAUAACCCUCAACUGUUAAUGUGUGAAAAGGACCCCAUAUGUCAACGUGGAUAAGAUCAAAACAAUUUUCAUAAAUGUUAUGAUUAGAGAUAAAGGGUAGUCUCCUUUGUUUGGCAUAAUGACAAAUAGUACAAUGAAAAGUAGAAGAGUCAUGUUGCUGAAAAGUUAGCUCUUUAUUUAAGAGAUGAAGUUUAAUACAAGAAGGGUGGCCUAAUCUAUAGUGCCACAAAGAAUCAACAGAAAUCUUGGAAUCAGAAAAGGUAAAAACAGAAGAUUGAUCAGAAGCAGUGACAGCAGCUUUAUUACAAGAAAAAUCUGUCAGAUAGUAAAGAUUUGCAAUCCGCUCACCCAUCCCAAUCGGCAGGGUCCGAGUGGUGUCCUGAAUGACACAGUGGUUUGAAAAGAAAGAGAAUGAGCAAUUAGUAGUUUUAGUUAAAGAGCUAACAGAGAGUAAAUUGUACUGAAAAUCUGGAACAUAAAGCACAUCAUAGAGAGUAAUAUCAGAAGACAGAAUGAUAGUACCAACACAAGACACAUUAGUGGAGUGACCAUUUGGCAAAAUAACAGAGGAAAGAGAAGUUGGAAAAGUUUGACCAAAUAGACAGAUUAUGGCAGACAUGGUGUGUAGCACCGGUGUCAAUAAUCCAGCUAGACUUAGGAACAAGAGGGUUCUUACCAAUGAAAUUUGAUACAAAAGGUUGAUCGGGAAGUAUAGGAACAGAAGAGGAUGGUGUAUCCUGGACUUUCCGAGCAAGAAGAGCAAUUAUUUGUUGCACUUGAGUUGAUGAAAGGGUGGACAACACAUCAGAAUUAGCAUCCACAUUAGUUCCAGAUUUAGCCUCAGUAGAGCUGAUGGAAUGAGUUGCUGGUCUGGUAUUCUAGGAGCUAGUCAAACGGCCUUUCCCAUGGAACUUAUGGCCAGGAGGAUAUCCAUGAAGUUUGUAGCACUUGGAUAUUGUGUGUCCAGAGAUGCCACAAUGAGUGCAGGUAAACUUGUUUCUGCCGUAUUGAGCAUUAGCAGCAAAUUGAUGAGACAUAUUGGGUGGGAUUUCCUUGGAUUCAGAUGUGACACAGUUUAAUCCUCUGUCUCUCUUCUUGAAUGAGUGUAGCAUACACUUUAUUGAUGUUUGGAAGAGGAUCUUGCAUCAAGAUUUGGGAUCUUGCAGCGGAAUAAGAAUCAUUUAACCCAACCAAAAAUUCCAACACCUUAUCCUGUUCUUGAUAAUCCAUAAUGGUCUUCAUUGCACCACAUGUACAAAGAGGUUGUGGACGGUACUCAUUAACCAAGUCCCAAAGAGCUUUGAGGCGAGUAAAAUAUGUCUGAAUGCUGUGACUCCCUUGAUGAAGAACUUGCAGAGAUCGCUUUACCUCGAAAACUCGCGGACCAUUAUUUUGAUGAAAACGCUCAUAGAGGUCAGACCAAAUCAGAGAUGCAUCAUCAAGAUACAUCACACUAUCAGCAAUCUCACUAGACAUGACAUGUAAAAUCCAGGAGAUAACAGUGCUAUUACAUCGGCACCAAGAAUCAUAAUCUUCAUGAGUUGGAGCUGGUUGAGGAAGUUUACCUGUGAUGAAAUGAACUUUGUUUCAAGCAAGGAGGGCCACCAUCAUUGAACGCCUCCAGGAACUGUAAUUCUCCCCACCGGUAAGAAUUUUGGGAACUAAAUUUGCACUAGGAUGAUCGCCAUGACCUAAAUGAUAGGGAUCUCGACUUUCAUCUCUGGAUGAGCGAGAACUUGGGUUAGGGAAAGCAGGGCGAUCCAUCGAUACUGAAUCAGCUGGAAUGACAGGAGGGUUCGUAUCAUGGAGAUUUAGAGGAUCUUCAUGAGAGUCUUGCGGGCCAACACCACUGCGAGUGGUCACCAUGGAUCCGAAGAAGUUGAAAAAGAAGUCAAGAAAAAAAAACUGUCGAAGAAGAGGAAGCACUUCGUGGCUAUGAUACCAUAUUACCAAAGAGAACCAGGAGAAAAAGAGAAGAACAUGAAUGAAAAGCUCUGUUUUUCAUUAAAGGAAUACAUCAAUACAAGAAUGAAAUUUAUAUCACUAACCUAGUACUAAGCUAGCCGAUUCUUAACUAAUUACAGUUACAACAGUUAAGAAGGAAAAACAGCUAACUAAUUACAACUAAGCCCUUCAAUAUAUCACAGCUCAGCAGCUAAGAGAUUUUGCACCCCAAUUUAUGCCUUGCCUCUAUUAUUUCUCUGGUUUUACAAACAGACAAGAUAAUAACAACACUACUUAAAUAUACAUGAAUUCUUGAAUCUUUUAAUGAUGAAUUAAUGUAUUCAAUUAUGUCGAAUCAGAGUACAUAUGUUCUGUUGAAAGUAUUAACCCUUCUCUACGUAUGUGGUGGUGUGUUGAGGGUGCUUGUUGUUGCCUUUCUGUGGUUCUGUUUCAGUUUUUAUGUUAUGUAUGGUUAGUUUAAUCUAUGGACCCAUCUUGUUUGCAAUUUAGUGUUAUUAUGUUGUUUGCGGUUUUUGUUUUGCUACAGACUUUCAUUCUGUUAGUCUUUGCUCUUAGUUAGUCCAAGACAUGUAUCUCUCUUAAAUAGAAGAUGGAGGAAGAAAUGGGAAUGAUGUGAUGCAGGCAACGCCAUAAGCUUUACUGAUACACAAUAUUUUUUUAACUGAGUAUUCUUAAAUCCAAAUAUAAGAAGGGAAUCAAUAAUAAUAAAUAUUCUAAUCAAAUCUUAUUCUAGUUUGAAAAUUUUAAUUUACUGAUUUUGUUUUGAUAUAAAGUAUUAGAGGGAUAAAAUUAGUUCAUUGAAACUAUUGAGUAUGGAAAAAUAUUUUUAAAAAAUGAUUUAGUUUUUAAUGUAUUUGUUGAAUAUUAAAUAAGCUUUAACUUAUGAGAUAGUGAUUGAGACUAUGGAAUUUUUUAAUGUAUUUGUGAAUAUUGACUUACUUGUAUGUAUGCUCUUGUUUAAAUGGUGAUUGUUGACACUUCUUAGCUUACUUCUCGUGUGUUUCAUAUAUUGGAUAUUGUUUAACAAUUGCUCCUUGAUGACUUGACUAGUAGUAAUGUGUUGAAUAGAUUAGUAACUUUGGUUUGGGUUCUUGUAUUGAAACAUGUAUUAUUGUUUCUUGGUUCCUUUGACAAAGGUAUGAAUUGUUGAGCAAACAUGUUAAAUAAACUAGAGCACCCUACUUAUAUUUAUUAGUUUGUUGAGAAAUGUCUCUAUGCUUAGAAUACUGAUACAAACAUGAUAAAUUGAUUCAUUAUAUUUUCUCAAGUUUAUUAAUGCAAAUGUUUAUAUUACUUGUUUGAAAUCAGAUUUCUUAUUCAUUUUCUACUUCUUUUGUAGUCUCAUCUUUGCUACGGUGAUUUGUGUUAUUUUCUAUGUGAGUGUGGUUUUAAGUGCUGAAAAAUAAUUGAGUGUCUAUUAUAUGAUAUUUUCUAGAUUAUUUGGCUUUUUGUUUGAAAAUUUUCUACAUAACGAAGCCCUUCGGGGAUUCUCUUUUGACCAAUAUAUUUUACGGAAGAGAUUUUUACCUUUGAGCUCAUUGGUUCAAAUGAAAAUAAAUUUUUGAAAAAUUAGUCUAUGCUAAAUUUUAAUUAGUGAUGAAAAACAGACCCGCUGCUAUUGACCAACUUGAUGUAGCACGACCUGCUUGCGUGGACGAGUCUUCAGACGAGAAUGGUACAGUUAUUUCGCUUUUAGAUAGCUUGCCAAUUCCAUGUCACCUAUUCGACGGGGACGGCAAUUUUAAAUAUGCUUCAAAUUUAGGUCCAGACGUCUUCAUGCCAGAGAGUGAGUAUAAGACUAGUAGAGUUUAUAGUAUAGCGACCAGUAAUAAUAGCUCGGGUAUUUGACUUUGCAAUCUUUUUUUAUUUCUUUUCCUGAUGUAAUAUACUUAGUCAUUUAUGCUAUCUCACUGUUCGACAUUUUGCUUCUUUUCCAGUCAUGGACUCCGUGAACGUGUUCGACAUUUACAACACUCCCGAGACUCCCGCGGCUCCCCCGAGCAAAAAGAAAGCAAGCAAGAGGCACCCUAGGGAAAGCAGCAAGGCGCCUCAGGCUAAGAAGCCUUGCAAUGCUGGCCUCCUGGAGGACGGGCCCUCAGCUAAUACAACUCCACCCUCUCCUCGCGAGCAGCAAACUCUCCCUGCUCCAGCCGGAACGACUCCACCUCCAACGGCCCCAACCGACUAGACUCAGUAGGCCGGUCCUGCUUUGACUGGGGGUGACAUGACUGGUCGCGCCUUCAAAUCGAUCAAGGACAGAGUCACGAAAAUUGAAAAGCACGACUGCUGCCGAGAGGCGAUGGCCGCGAUAGAGGCGAUGGACGUCGACCAAGUCUUAAACCGCGCCCUGAACGAGUUUACCAAUGCAAUGCUGACCCUUACUGCCAGCCGCCUCCGCUCAGGUGCUGUUACCGAGCAGGCCAAAUCUUUGGAGCAACGGCACGCUGAUGAACUUAAAGCUGCCGCAAAGAAAUAUGUCGAACAGCUUGCAGUGGUGCUUGACGAGAAGAAUAAACUGGCUGAUGAGUUGAAGGAGAAGCAAACGUCUUUGGACAAAGCCAUCGAUCAGAGGGACCAGUUCAAGGAGUCUAACCGCGUCAAUUAUUGCGCAGCUAAAUAGCUCGAGGAGGACUUGAUCGCGAGCUGAAGGGAGACUACAACCAUGGAGGGCCAGAUCGAGGAGCUUGAGAAAGCCAAUGCCAGUAUCUUGGAAAGGUAUAAGAAUUCCACUUUCCAAUGCUUCUAUGAUUUCUGGAAGCACAACCAGGGUGCCAACUUCGAUUACCUUCCUGAGAAUGCAAGAGGCAACGAGCUCGCUCGCUGUGCUGCUCGACUGGCAGAGGAAGAAAGGGCGAGGAUUCCUGCUUCCCCUGAGAUCUCGCUGGCCACUGGGAUAGACGGGGCAGACAAUGAGGUUGCAGACGUCGUCGAUAAGUGCUCUCCUCAUGGCCCUCCGGCUCCUCAAGAUCCUCCGGCUCCUUGAUCUUUUUCUGUUUAUAUUUUAUCUUUUUAACUGUACGACCUACAAGUCGUGAUGAAAAGACAAUAUAUUUUUUAUUGCUGCACGGGCAGCCUUUACUUUUAUCUGAACUAUUACAUCCGAGCAGCGACUGCUCGCGGUGUAAAAAGGAUUCAUUUUGAUAUUAUAAUAUAUUCGCAUCUUAUUAUAA